GAAGGUGGCCUGUGAGGGUUGCUGGAGGUAUCAGAAGUGCGAAUGCUGACAUAAGUAACGAUAAAGCGGGUGAAAAGCCCGCUCGCCGGAAGACCAAGGGUUCCUGUCCAACGUUAAUCGGGGCAGGGUGAGUCGACCCCUAAGGCGAGGCCGAAAGGCGUAGUCGAUGGGAAACGGGUUAAUAUUCCCGUACUUGGUGUUACUGCGAAGGGGGGACGGAGAAGGCUAUGUUGGCCGGGCGACGGUUGUCCCGGUUUAAGCGUGUAGGUGUGUGUUCCAGGUAAAUCCGGUUCACUUUAACACUGAGGCGUGAUGACGAGGCACUACGGUGCUGAAGCAACAAAUGCCCUGCUUCCAGGAAAAGCCUCUAAGCAUCAGGUAACACGAAAUCGUACCCCAAACCGACACAGGUGGUCAGGUAGAGAAUACCAAGGCGCUUGAGAGAACUCGGGUGAAGGAACUAGGCAAAAUGGUGCCGUAACUUCGGGAGAAGGCACGCUGACACGUAGGUGAAGUGAUUUACUCAUGGAGCUGAAGUCAGUCGAAGAUACCAGCUGGCUGCAACUGUUUAUUAAAAACACAGCACUGUGCAAACACGAAAGUGGACGUAUACGGUGUGACGCCUGCCCGGUGCCGGAAGGUUAAUUGAUGGGGUCAGCGCAAGCGAAGCUCCUGAUCGAAGCCCCGGUAAACGGCGGCCGUAACUAUAACGGUCCUAAGGUAGCGAAAUUCCUUGUCGGGUAAGUUCCGACCUGCACGAAUGGCGUAAUGAUGGCCAGGCUGUCUCCACCCGAGACUCAGUGAAAUUGAACUCGCUGUGAAGAUGCAGUGUACCCGCGGCAAGACGGAAAGACCCCGUGAACCUUUACUAUAGCUUGACACUGAACAUUGAGCCUUGAUGUGUAGGAUAGGUGGGAGGCUUUGAAG
rnacentral:rRNA from 1 species